rnacentral:rRNA from 1 species
GACGAACGCUGGCGGCGUGCCUAAUACAUGCAAGUCGAACGCAGUGGGGACGGGUGAGUAACACGUGGGUAACCUCCCAUCAGAGGGGAUAACACUUGGAAACAGGUGCUAAACCGAUACUGAUGGAUGGACCCGCGGUGCAUUAGCUAGUUGGUGAGGUAACGGCUCACCAAGGCCACGAUGCAUAGCCGACCUGAGGGGGUUAGCGGCCAAAAUGGGACCUAGACACGGCCCAGACUCCUAAGGGAGGGAGGAGUAGGGAAUCUUCGGCAAUGGAAGAAAGUCUGAACGAGCAAAGCCGCGGGAGUGAAGAAGGUUUUCGGAUUGUAAAACUCUUGUGUUAGAGAAGAGGGAUCUAACCAGAAAGCCACCGCUAACCACGUGCCAGCCGCCGCGGUAAUAC